GUCAAAGCAAAAGGAUGUGGAAGGGAGCCUUUAACCACUGCUUGCCGAUGACUUCCAUCGAGAUUUGACUUGUGGAUGAAAUUCAGUUUAGCAUCUGCCCAAUAAAGUUUCUGUUCCUCAUAAUCCAAUGUCAGUCCAUUUGGCCAAUAAAUGUCCGUGUUGACUAUAAUGGAGCGGCUUGAACCAUCCAUCCCAGCACGUUCUAUCUUUGGCACUUCUCCCCAGUCUGUCCAAUACAUGAACCCUCUUGCAGGAUCUAAGGCAAUUGCUCUGGGUUGAUCCAAUUCUUGCCAAAAUAAAACUUUUCUCAAUGAUCCAUCUAAAUUCGAAACUUCAAUCCGAUUUGUUUCAGAAUCUGUCCAAUAUAAUUUCUCUCCCAGCCAGUCACAUGCCAGCCCAUCAGGUGACAAAAGUCCAGAAAUGACCACAUUUUGUACACUCCCGGAUUUAUUGAAUUCUGUUCGUUUAAUGGCUUCUUCACUCACGUCGCUCCAGUAUAUCAACCCCUUCACGAACACAAAGUCCACUGCCGCUGCAUCUUCGAGGCCACCCACGAUUACUGUGGCAUUCUCCUUCCCGUUGGCAGCAUCCACCAGCCUCAGGUCACGGCGGUUUGCAUACAGCAACAGUGGGGCAGCUCGCAUCAGGGAACAAAAACUGCAGGCGAGCAGGCUCCGCAGGACGGCCCCCAUCUUCCCUCGCUCCGCGCUCUCACCGGCGGGGCGGCGGCGAGGAGCAGUCCCUCCGCUGCCACUUCAUGCUGCCCGGCGGGCGGGGAGGCGAGGAGGAGGGCCGGGCAGCGGCGAAGGGCGGCCGCCGAGCCCCCCUAGCAGGCCGCUGGCCCCGCCGCGCCGCAGCGGCACCGAGCGCUCCCCUGCAUGCCGGCCUCCGCGUCGCUGCCGCGGCCGCUCGCCAUCCACUCUCCGCUCCCUCGCUCGCCCGGCCUCCGCCUCCGCCGGGCGCGCACAGGCGCAGGGAUACAGCCCUCCUCCUUCUCUCCUCCUCCUCCUCCCCCGGCCCGGCCUGGCCCCCGCCCCGCGCCGCGCCCGCCCGCCCGGCUCCGCGCUCCCGCCGCACCGCCCGCCUUCUCAGGCUGGGAGCGAGCGGGCGGGCAGAGGGCGGCGCGCACGCAAACGGCGGCGGGCGGGCGAGCGCCUCGCGGCCCGGCGGGCAGCUCCGCCUCGGGCGGGGCGCGGGGCGAGGGCGGGCGCGCGCGGCCCACGGGCGCCCGUGGGCAGGGCGAGGGGUCGGACGGGGGGAGCCGGCCGCCGCCGUCGCAUUCCAGCGGGACUAUUUCCCGCGUUGUUUCGCACGCACGCCUCCGCCGCCUUUUUGGGUGCGAUGCGGUUGUCGGAGCAACACCGGCCCGGGAGGGACGGGACUACUUUCAGUCACAGAGCGGUGGCGGCUGCACAAAGGCGGCCGCUCCCCUUCGCCCGCAGGUGAGGGCUGCCCGGCCGCGCUCCCCCUCCGUCCCUUUCGGCCGCUGCACGGCGGCGGUUCCCGAGUGAAGGGCGGGCUGCGGCGCCACAGCCUUUCCACGGGAGUUUCUGCGGAGCUGCCCCGUGGGCAAAGCUACUUCAGUAUUUCUGCGAGGAACGUCACAUCUCACGGGGCGUCCCUCCUCUCCUCCCGCAACGUGACAGCUGUUCCGAGGGAUGAGGCAGCGAGGCAGAGCGACUUAAAGCAAAAUUUGAGAUCCUCGCGUGCAGAAGUCUGUAUUACUUUCAGGGUUAUUAGAAACUUAUGGAAACAUUUAACUUUUAAUUUCGUAUCUGUUGAACAUAUAUUUUCAUAGCUUUUCUUGUGAUUACAGUAGGAGAUAACAUCUGGGCCAGAUUAAAGGCCCAGGCAUUGCAGACCGGCUCUGACAUCAGACUCCAGCAGUCAUGUGAUGAUAUCAGACUUUCAGAUUCUACUGGGGAGAAACCGCAAGUCAAAACUUUGUAGAGAAAGAAGUAUACCUCCAACUUUAAAAGUUGUUUAAGAAAGGGGGGGGGGGGGGAGGGAAUCUUGAAAAAGUAAACAGCUCAACAGCAAGAGCUGCCUGAGGGCAGGUCUGCAUUCAAAUAUGUCUUUGACUCCACCGGGUGGAACAACCUCCUCUGUUGUUGCCAUGUCAGCUAGGAGGAUAAGCAAACUCAAGCAAGAUCCACAGUGGUGGUGGAGGGGAAGGGCUUCCCAUGAGAAAACGUACCAGAGAGUGGAUAAACCUUAGCAUACCCUUGCUGUCACAACUGGAUUUUGUGGGAACAGACAGAAGCAGCACAGCAUUCUAUUUAUUUUCACUGAGCAAUUGGAAUCAAAGAAAACAGUAACUCACAACGUUGUAUGAUCAGUGAUUAACCUCUUGUGAAGUAUUGCAAGUCCAUAAUGAAUUCUUCCUAUCUUAAUAACACGAUGCACAGCUGAGAGAAAGCUCAAGCCUGAACCCUCGAAUGUCACAUUUCUCUAUGUGCUGUUCCCUCUUGCAUCUUGUGUUCUUUUUUCUUUUGCUGGAAACACAAUGGUGUCUUGACUAUCUCCCUCGGAAGCCGGAUCCCCUGCCUGUUGGCUCUCGCAUCUUCCCCACCAUCCCAUCUGACUGGCUUUAUUUUUAGCUUACAAACAUUACAUGCUGUCACCCGUCACGAAUUUGACCAUUUUUCUAUACUUCAAGACCUUUCCUUUCCUGAUUGGAUUUCCUCUAAGUCACUGAGUGAUUAGUGACUUCACUUAUGUAUCCCCUUUUCUCCAUCUGCUUCUUAGAGACAGUCCUCUCCCUACUCAAGCCUACGUAGCCUUUUUAAAAACAGUUUUCCAUUCAAUGCUUAGGAUUCAGGACCAAACCCAUGUUGUAUCUGUUUCUCAGCUUUAUUUCUAAUUCAUACAGACAGCAGGGACUCAGCUGUAGAGGUUUUUACGAAGUAAACCAGAUUACCUCACACAGAAAAGAUUCUGACAGCCAGGGCUCCUCUGAAAUACUUACAUUCUUUCAUUUGAUCUUAAAGUUAAGGUGAAGGAAAUAGGAAUGCAGAGGGAACGUUUCUUCUAUUGCAGUAGGAAGCUCCUCAUGUUGGUUACAAUUAUUUUUAUUAAUCUUAUGAGUGGAAGUAUUCAUUUGCUCGUUCAAAUCCAGUCAGAGACUUUGGCUGUCAAGAAAUCUGUACAAUCUUAUUCUUACCUCUGGACUCGGAUGGUGAUUCGAUGAUACAGGAGCUUUCACAAGAAUUUCAUUAUACUCAGGUUAGUUCCCUGGUUUGGUUCAUAAUACGGCUUCACAAGCAUUUUUGUCAACUCAGAGGACAGCCGGGGUGGCAACUGGACCUCCUAAAACCAGUAGUAACUGCUCAAGUCUCUGUAUCUUUGAACAGUGCCCUGUGUUGCAGUGAAGUCGGUGGGAUCCUUUGUAGAAUGGGGACUGAAGUCCCUAAUGAACAAAAGCUGUUAGCAGAAGAUAGCUGCGCAGCAAAUGAAUUUGUGGCUGCCCACAUCACAGAAACCACUAUCAUAAUUAGCUCCCUUGCUGAAUGUCUCAACAAGAGUUAAUGGGCAUGGCAUGGUGAAAUCCUGGUCCCUCUGAAGUCAAUGGUAAAACUCUCACCAACAUCAAAAGGGUCACGUUUCAUACUGAAACUCUAGCUCAAGUCCUCUCUUGCAUCCAUAAGGAAAGAUUGCAGCAAAGUAGCAUAGGAGAUGGGAUGUGAAGUAGUGAUGACUUCAUCAGUGAUGUCUGUUACAACAAUUUCACGGGUAAAAUAAGACACCCUACUCCACAAAUCAUCACCUUGCUACUUUGCCUAGGUUGUACUGUUGGUACUCAUAAAAACCUUCAUCCACUUCUUUUCCAAAACAGAAUCAGCUCUAAGAAAUUUGACAGGUGCACCUUACAAGAUUUAUCCUGUUCCAAGAGAGCAAUGGAGCCAUAAUGUUCCUUCUUUAAAGAAUAGAAUACUAGAUCAUCUAUCCCUUCUUAAAAAUCAGUAAUAAGCAGACAUAUUUUUCCUUCACUUUUACUAUUAAAAGUAAAGCCACAUUAACUGCGUCUUUUCAACAAGACUUAGGCAGCUUAUGAGCGGAUUUCCUUGGACUGAUAGCCAUUUCUCUAUUCCAGAAAUUUUCUCCAGGGUGGAAGAUCUCAGUUAUCUUCAGUUACUAUCUGUAGGGUUCCCCACAGUCUGUCAAACCAUCGCAAUAGCUAGCAUUCCUGCUAUUUUCCCACUGAUCAGUCAAGUCCUCUCCCCACCCCCCCCUUUUUUUAAUCAUAUAAGGAGUUGCCUCUUCUCCUUGCUUUUCAGUUCUACCUUAUUUUUUUCUCCAUUAAGUGUAAUACCCAUUCCUUUUCUACCAUCUCCUCUUUUAGAAGAUGCUGCCUGGUGUCCAGGAUGAGAACUGCAUUUCUUUGUGGCUGAAAAAAUCCUUACAACAAAAACUUCACAGAGAAGGUCCUGGAGUUCAGCAGAGCAUAGGGGAGAGUUUGGACUCCUGCUGAUGGUGUAUCCAAGAUCAGGCUGUUUAUCUACUGCUUCUUUUCUCCUCUUCCAUCUCCCAGGGAGUUGAAAACAACACUGCCUCAGGAUAUGCUUCUUCAGCUGUAGUACUUUCAGCGUGAACUGUAUAGGAUUCUGAUUUUAAUUUGGCACUGCCCACCAGGCCACAGGGCAAGUCCAGUACUUUCCUUAUGAAAGCCACAUAGCCGUGGCUGUAUUUCAAAGCUAAAUUAUAAAAAGUCAUUUUAGAAAGUUUGAGUGCUAAAAUUUGUAAAGACCUGUAAUGCUAGGUUGAUACAGCUAAAACAUCCUUUCAAAAGAGAUUGCGUUUCAGACUGACAGAUACCAAAACACUAUUUUAUUUUAGUUUGCAAAGAUUUUCAAAAACAGACAGCAUCUGGGUUCUAUUAACAACAACAUGCAUGCAUUUUAAACAACAACAAUUUAAGAAUACUUCAUUUUCAGAACACUUUCAUGGAGCUCAGCAUUUUGCCGUAUGCAUUCAUAGGAUUUACCAAUUAUGCUUUGCCUUUGAAGUUUAAAAAUUAGUUACUGGUAAAGGAUUGUACAUUUGUUCACACUAUUUUAGUCAUAGGGAUAAAUUACUAGAAUGUAUGCCUUAUUAUGGUCAAGAAAGGUAAGUUACAGUAAUUAGCAAUUGUUCAUACAACACUUCAGUCUUUGUGUAAUAUACACAUUGUGACACACCAUCUGUGCACAGGAAAGAGCUCAUUUGCAAUUUGAAGUAGCUUCCUCUGAGCUAAAGUGCAGUAACAAGGAUGCACAUGGGAAAGCUGCAGUUCGUGAUAGCAAAAGAGAGUCGCCCUUCUGCAGAUCAAACUCUGGGGAGAAGAUUUAUGAUUAUGUUUAUUUACGUCUAUAUUUUUCUAGAUUUAUAUUUAUUUAGCCUGCAAUUCAGUCAAGACACCUAGCACCUCAAGAAAAUGGUUAUGUAUCCUUAACUGUGAUAACACUUCAGGGGGGUUGUUUUUAUUAGCUGUUAAAGAAGUUCUCAAACUGUUCCAGAAAAGCAGGAUGAGUGACUUGCACGCUUCCUUAGAGCAGAGAAGAGUGCCCUCUGAUGGCUAACCUUUUAGGUUUAAUAUCUACGAUGUUCAUGUCAACCUCCAUUUAUUAAAUUCAAAAAGCAAAAUCACAAAAAUGCAAGAUGCUGCAGCGUGUCAUUAUUUCAAGAAAAAGAAAUUAUCUGGAUUUAUUUAUAGAUAACAGUUAAAAAGAGGGGUGGAGGUAUAUUCUUAAUUUUUUCAUUAAAUUAAUAUUAGCCAGUUUUUCUAAGAGCAAAAUUAAUGCAUUUGAUAGUUCAGAACUGUUACCUGUAUGUACUCUUUUAUCUAAGUUUUAUUUUACUGCGAUAAACUUGCUUUAAGGCUUGGAACAGUAGCAUGUAGAACGUGUACAAGUCCCUAAGUCCUCAGUUUAUUUCAGAACAAUAAAAGUGUUUGUGAAUGCCCUAAGGCAUGACACCACUCUUCAGUGAGUGAACUUGCUUUUAAUUCUUUCUUCGUUCAGAUCUUGAACUCAAAUAUUAGCAAUGCUGAUAACAGUUGUUAUUAGUCCUUGCUCACUUUUCAAAGCAUGAAAUCCAAGGAUAACUGUCAGCGGCUGAUUCUACCCAUUUUAAACAUGCCUUUCCCAGUAAUUUCAAGACAGCUAGAGAAUUUCUGGUUUAUUAGAAUCAUAUUGAUCUGUAAAUCAGAGAUACAGGAUUUGAGGGGAAUGGCCGAAGUGAAAACCAAAUUCCAAAUUCUCUCAUUUACCCCACUGUCAACUGGCAGCAGCACUAAGUACUGUAAAGGUAAACAUGUAUGUCUCCACAAAAGGUAUUUGAAAUACAGGCCCAGAACAGCAGAAAGCCCUGCACACAUUACCCCUUGGCAUUGGCUAAAAACAUCACAUUGAUUUAAUUGCCCGUUAGAAUAGGAAUGAGUGUGGGUCCUCAAAACUGUCUGGUUCUGUAUAUAAAGAUUUUUGUGUCUUAAGGCCUGUAGCUCAAUCUUCAUGUGAUGACAGGAUAGAAGAGGCAAUUAUAUAUGGCUAAAGUCUCAUUUGCUGCUUUUCCAUAGUUCUUCAAAUAACUUCCUUACAGCAUGGACUUGCAUAAAGCUGAUGUCAAAUAGUUGUCAGCUAUUUAUAAGCUGACAACUAAAUGUAGAUAUGUGACAAAGGAAAGCACAGAGAAAGAUACGUGCCUCAAAUAUACUUAUUAAAACAGUUGCACCCGCCAUAAAGAUAUUACUAAAGAAUCUUCAUACUCAGUUAUGAAUUAAAUUGAUUCUGUUUUCUCUUCUCAUAAAAAAAAAAUGAAGCUAUCCAACCAAUUCCUUUUCCUUUACUAUUCCCUCACCUCUCCAACCAACCCCACAGUUACAGUAUUUGGUCAUGUAGAUCUUUGAAUAAAAGACAGCAAAUUGUGUUUGCAUAGGCCUGACACAUAAAGCUCCUUCCAGUGCCUUUUUUGGUGUCAGAGCUUUGCAGUUAAUGCAACUUGUACUAAUUUUUCCUUACCACAAUUGUGAAUACCUUUAGAAUGAUAUUAAAAGGGCUUAUACAGAAUAAAAUCCCCAUUUAAUCUUGGCAUAUUAAGAAAUCUUUUCUUUGAACAUUAUGUAUAAAAUGCUAUUUUUCCCCAAAACACUUUUUUUUUUUUUUUAAUAUGAAAAGCUUGAGGAGUGGUAAGAACCAACAGUUUAGAGCACUAUCUACACUUGUGGUUUAGGAACCUUGGCAGAGGAAAUGUUAGUGAGAAUGUACAUGUGCUUCUCAUGGAAUUCCGUGGCAAUAAAUCGUGAACCCAAUGUACCAAAAGGUGUCCUGGUCACUGUGUUAAAAAACAAACAAACAAACAAACCAACAAAAAAAAAAAAAACAGUGGGAACCAAAGACCCAAACUGCUUAAGAAUAGGAGAAAAAAUGUUCGCAGAGCAUUGUGCAUACCAGUUAUUUAGUUACUGCUUCCACUUCAUCUACCACCCGUUACUUCUCACAUACUAUAGCUAUUAUGAAACAGCAAGGUUUGAGUAAACUGCACUACCUCUCUGUUUACACAGUACACAGUGAUCACAAGCAGAAGAGAUACAGCUAUUCAUCUCAUUUAUUGCCCCAGUAGCUCUCCUAGUUUCUGCACACAAAAUGUUGAGUACUCAGCUGUGUACCUGACAGGUUUUUUUUGAAUGUUCUUUUCAACAGAAAUAUGCUAUGAUUUAUACCUGUAUUAAGACCAAGUAUUUGAGAUACCUGCUUGUAACAUAGCUGGAACACUUGUAAUGGCUCUUUAAGACAAAUAAAG
rnacentral:lncRNA from 1 species